ensembl:lncRNA
GGAGUAGCUUGAGGCAUUUGAAGCAGACUUCCUAUAUUGCUUUUAGCAGUAAGGAGAUGUUGAUUUAUAGCUAUAUGAUACAGUGCAUAUGGUUCUUCAAUUGUUAAAAAAGUAGUUUCAGUUUGCAUAUGGCAUCCAGAUUAAACUAUUAUCAGUCAAUAGGAGUCUCUCUUCAUACUAUUCAAUAACUCCUACUCCUCCUUUCAGUCUUCUUCUGUCUCUCACUUAUUUAUUGUCCUUUUGUUCAGCACAGCAGCAGGCGGGAGAAAGGAGUCAGAAAAUUUCAGAGAAGCAGCCCAGCAGACACCACAGUCAGUGUAUGAGGACAGGAAGUACUCCAGGCACUGCAAAGUUCCCUUGCAGCCCAGGAGAGGCCCAUGGUGUAGCAGGCUGUUCCCUUGCAGCCCAUGAAGCAUCAUAUCAGAGCAGAUAUCCUCACUGUAGCCUGAGGAAGAGCCCAUGCUGAAGUAGGUGGAUAUGGCCUGAAGGAAGGUACUAUUCGUGGAGAGCCCCUACAGAAGAAGACAAUGGGCUGGAGCUGCAUCCCAUGGAAAGAUGUCCACAGUGGAGCAGGAGGUCUGGGAUCCAUGCUGGAGCUGUCCGUUCCUGAGGGAUGGAUCCUACAGUGCAGUUCUUAAAAAACUGCAGCCUGUGGGAUGCUCAUCACAGUUUGGGAAGAGCUGCAACUCAUGGGAGGGACCGUACUCUGGAAUGGGGGAAGAGAAGUAGCAAUAAAGAAGAAAUGUUAUGCACUGACUGUGAAUCUGUACUUGAUGAUCCUCGUGGGUCCUUUCCAACUCAGAAUGUUCUAUUACUGUACACAAUAAAUGCAAACUGGAAGAAGGAAGAAUAAGGGAAAAAGAAAUUUUAUUUCCAAACCAUUUGUGACUCCAGCCUUCCUUAAAUUCUACAGUGUUUCCUCAUUUCUAGACUGGAGAUAGAGAAAAUAAGAUGAUGAGAUCCAAAAUAUGUGAAUAGCUAUUGUUUUUAUCUCAGUGAGUCUUAUGACCUUGUGUGAAAUAAUAAUAAUAAUAAUAAUAUAAAGCAAACAAAGAAAUUAAAAGAGCAGCAGCAGCUACAAAAAGAAAAUACAAAACAAAACAAUAAAGUUUCUAUAAUGAUGGGCCAAAUAAGUAUAAAGGAAUAUAGAAUAUAUAGGAUAUCACUGGCCUUCUGGGACACAAGGGCACACAACUGUCUCAUGGUCAACCUCUUAUCCACCAAGACACCUAGGUCCUCCUCUGCAGAGCUCCUUUCCAGCAGAUCAGCUCCUAACCUGUAUUGGUGCAUAUGGUGAAUCCUCCCCAGAUGUAGAACCCUACAUAUGCCCUUAUUGAACUUCAUGAACUUCCUUUCCACCCAGCUCUGCAGUCCAUCCAGGUCUUAUUGAAUGACAGCACAGCUUUCUGGUGUACCAUCAGCAAACUUACUGAGGGUGCACUCUGUCUCUUCAUCAAGGUUAUUGAUGAGUAUGUUGAAUAUGACCAGUCCCAAUAUCAAAUCCCUGGGGAACUCCACUGGCUACAGUCCUCCAACUAGACUGCGUGCCACUGAUCAAAACCCUCUUAGCUCUCCUGUUCAGUCAGUUCUCAGUCCACCCCACUGUCUACUCAUCUAUCCCACACUUCCUAAGCUUACUAAUAAUAAAUCCUGCUACAUAUAUUUAUACUUCUUUUUUUUUCAAAGAAGAAUAAUUGUGGGGCUAAAAAUAGGGAUUUAUUGCUGCAUUUGUUGCCAGUUUUUUGUUUUGUUUUGUUUUGUUUUUGUAUCAGCUGUGCUCCCUCAAUUUAGUGUCAUCUCUAAAUUUGAUCUCAGCAAGCGUCAUACUAUCUGAAGAGUCCAAGCUUAUUUCUUUUACUAUCCCAGCAAGCCUUGUAACCUUGCACAUCUUCAUACUACGUUGUUCCAUUUAAUAUAACCUUCACAUCAAGGCAGGGAAAAAAAAAAAAAACAAAGAAAAAAAAAAAAACAAUCAAAUAAAUAUAAAAGUCUUCUGCCCUUAGAGAGGGCUUAUGAGAUCAAAUCAGCUCGGGAAAGACUUGGACCAUUAUGUAUUUGGAUUCAGGUGAAGAAUUUUGGUGAUUACCUGUAGCAACUUGAUAAGACUAUGGUGCUCUUGAAGGGCUAAGGUGUAUUUUGAAGAAAUGUCACACUAUAAGAAUUACUUCAACUGGUCUGCUUUAAAAGCCAUUAUGCAAAAUGUCAGUGUCACCUAAAUAGCUGUCUCAGUCUCAGCACAAUUUCCUUCCAAGUAUUAUGAUCUUUUAUUGAGGCUAGAAGUCUCUCUGAGUUCAUAGUUUAAGAAUCAACCUACAAUUACAGCUGAAUAUUAGGAGCUAACAAAAAUGCUAUAUAAGUGGAGUAGGUUAGCAUGUGUUUGCAUCUCAGACUGAAGUACAUAUUGCAUACUUUUUUUGUCACUGACUUGUUUUUGAUUAAAUGGUGGUAUCUGUAUAUUUUCAGUAGUCUUUUGGGUCCUAAGUUCACCAGUGCAAAUCCCACUACAGUAAAAUGGGUGGGGAUUAAGUAACAAAAAGGCAUUAGAAUACAGAGUUCAUCCUCAAAAAGAGUACAGUAGUGGUGAUUGGAGUUUCAUCGUUUGUAGUUUUGCAUCUGAUUUAUUGUUUCUGCAUAUUUUCUGACAUAUUCUGAUUACUUGCACUUUGUUCAUUGAUAGCCACCAAACUAUCUUUGCACAUGAGCUACUAGUUAAAAUUAUGCAGUAGUCUCUUCACAUCCCAGAAGACUAAUACUUGCUACUCAGCUACUACAUAUUUCAGACCUGUGUUAUACGUAAUAUUCACAGAUAAGCUCCGACAUACAUGAGGCAGCAGUCAUGCUGGUGUAGCUAAAGAAAACUAAAAUCAGCUCAGGUCAAAGCAAGAUAAGUCUUCAGACAGUACACUGCCAGGUCAAUAUGUAGCUUGUGGCUUUUUACUAGUAAUGGAAAAAUCAUGCUUUUUUUUCAAAUUAAAUUUAUUUAAAUAUCUGCAUGUUGAAAUACAUCAGUCAGAAGUCUAGAUUUUUUGUUCUCAUUGAAAUCAGCUGUUGGAAUUUGUAUCAUAUUAUUCUAGUCAUACUUUUCUGAAAUAAAAAUGAUGAAUCAACAUUCCAAUAAACUAAUAACAGAGAAAUUACUUUAAACAAUAUGGCAGUUUUUUGGUGGUGGUGGUGGUGGUGUUCGUUUGUUUGUUUUGUUUUAUUUUCUUUUGUUUUCUAAUCCAUCCAUAGAGACAUCCAAGGUCAGGCUGGACAGGGCUCUGAGCAACCUUUUCCAGCUGUCGAUGUCCCUCUUCGCUGCAAGGGAAUUGACCUAGAUUACCUUUGGGAGUCCUUUCCACUCAAACUUAUAAUAAUGCUAUGAUUCAGUGAUUAUAAAUAACUAACAAACCUAGCCAGAACUCCUCACACUAAACAACAUAAUGUUAGAGGGAAUGAUAGAAAACUGUAAUUGAUAUUUAACAAAAAGAAACAACCAAAUGAACAGAAGAACCAAAUGAGUUAUUCUGUUGUGAAGAAUCUACUAUGAAACAGACCCUAACAAAUACUUCCAAUUUCUGCCCUCUUUAAGCCUAAAUAAAUAAAUAAAUAAAUUCCACUAUUAAAAAUAUCCCACUUAAAAAAAAAAAAAAAAAUCCACUAUAGAGAUGAAAACAGAUAAGUUUUUUUUCUAACAAUACAGAAAAAUUAAAUGCUUGUACUAUCAUUUUUACCCAUGGUGAAAUACUGCAUACAAAAUUGGUGGGUGAAACAUUAAUGGAAGUAUGUUAAUACUUACAUACUUGAGAAAAGUAGUAUUAAAUCAGUAUUCAAAUGGUAUUUCAUUUUAAUUAGUGUCUCCUUGUCAAACAUUAUAUGUAUUUUUUUAGAGGAAGUUUUUCAUUCAGAGGGUGGUGAUACGCUGGAACAGGUUGCCCAAGGAGGUUGUGGAUGCCCCAACCCUGGAGGCAUUCAAAGCCAGGCUGGAUGUGGCUCCGGGCAGCCUGGUCUAGUGGUUGGCAACCCUGCCCACAGCACAGGGGUUGAAAAUAGAUGAUCUUUGAGGUCCUUUUCAGCCCAGGCCAUUCUCUGAUUCUAUUAUUCUACUCUAUGAUUCAGUAUAUUCAGAAAUUGACUCUGUUCUUUGAAAUUUAUUUAGCAAUUUAUAAAAUCAGACUAUUUUUAGAAGUAUCUUCAUAACAGUUGCUUUAUUAACUUGCUAUUUAAAAAUGGAUUUCAGUUAUUCUAACAAGAUUUUACUUUCACACUUCAGAGCAUGGAAACUUCAAGGAUGGAAUUAGAAAACUGCAAUAUUUCCCUAGUUUUGCACAGCUUUUCUUAGGCUUUUAAUUUGCUUGAUAAUAAUUCCUAAUAGACCACACAAAAACUCUAUUGGUAUGUUGUCAUUUUAUUUUCAUUCUUAAAGAUUAAGGUUUUUGUUUGCUUGUUUGUUUGUUUGCUUUGUUUCUAAGAAACUUUGGUCCUUAUUUAUGUAUUGUUCAUUUAUUCAUUUAUUUAGACUAGGGUUCAAAUGAUUAUGUUGUAACUUCGGAAAGUUCUUCAGAACUUUUAUAAUUUUCUUCAUUAACAUAGUCAUAAUUAAAUGGAUAAUUGAUUUGUGAGAAGUUAUAUUAACAGGAAAAAAGUCUUAUGUUUUUAAGAAGUUCAUAGCCACAUGUAGAAAAGAAGGAUACUUCCAUCAAUUGGGAUAGAAAAAGCUAAAACACGUGACUGCAGACUUCUGUCCUGUCCUGUGUUUCAUUUCUAAAGUUUGAAUAUCUGUCUGUUAUGUGUGUUGAUAUAAUGGAAAUAAUUAUUUAUACAAAUCUGAUUUUUUGGAGAGCUACAAAUUAUCAAAGUCCACAUCUAUCACUUUUUUUUCUUUUUUUUUUCUUUUUUUAUGUGGACUCUGAGGCCAUACUAGAAUACAAAAGUAAGUCUUUUUAAAGAUGAGAUAUUUCAAAGUAAGAAAUGCCAUACAAAAUAAAACCUUAAAAUUUGUUGGAUUCUGAGCUCACCACCUGCCUCUCCUCUGACAAUUACCAACUAGUAUAGACAAAGUUUGUUUUAUGCACUGUUUCACCUGUGUGGAAUCCAGAUAUAAAUUACUAAAAUUCACCAAACUUGAGUAAUAUAAGUAGUAGGGAAAAUAUAGACAAACUGAUGAAUAGGGUAGGGAAUCUGGUAACAAAUGGCAUACAAUACAAGGAAGAAUUGCCUUUUUUUUUUUUUUUUUUUUUUUUUUUUUUUAGGGGAGUGUAAGGUUAAGAGAGUACUUAAAGAAACUGAUAGUUUGCAACCAUGAAUUCUGAGGAAGGUUGUUGAUAUUACUGCAAGAUAACUCUUGGUUAUCUUUGAAAGACUGUAGUAAUGGGGAGAAUAUCCUGAACAAUCUCACCUCAGUCCCAUGGCCAGAGGUGGAUAACUAAUAGUGAAAAACAUUUCCAAACACACAAAGGACUGGAAGGAAGUCAGUGUUAAUUUAUGAAGGGCAGAUCAGGCUUACUCAUCCUGAUAACCCCAAGGGGAGAGCAGUGGCUGUUGUUUAGUAACAUGAUUUUAGUAAGGCUUUAGCCACAGUUUCCCACAACAUCCACAUAUAUAUGUUAGACAAAUAGCUACCAAUUUCAGGCAGACUAAAAACCAGUUGAAUAGGCUAGGCCCAGAGGAUUGCAAUCAGUGACACAAAGUCCAUGUGGAGGUCUGUCAUUAGUGAUUAAUACUGAGGUGAGUGCUUUACAGACUCUUCACUUCUGACCUAGGCAAUGGAAUGGGCUACCUCAGCAGAUUUUGAGAUUACAAACAUCUGUGAGGAGUGGUGGAUGCACUACAUGGUUUUGCUACCAUUCUGAGGGAACUCCUCUUGGGACUGAUCAGCUUGAAAACAGCACAGCAGAGAGAGACAUGGAGGUCCUGGUGCAAUACCUGUUAUGUGGCAGCCAUACCACCUUGGGACAAAGAAGAUAAUCGGUCUCUUGAGCUGCAUUAGAAGAAAAAAGCUGCUGUCAGGUUGAGGGGAGGUGAUCCUUUUUUUCCAAUACUCUGUCCUGGUGCAGCCACACCUGGAUCCAGGUCUGAAUUGACUGUCUUUUUUUCUUCAGUUGUGAUCUAUGAAAGUCAUACAAUGUAUGCCAGUAGUGACUGUGUAUUGCUUAUAGAUGAAGUAAAGCAUCUGAAUACUAUAAAGUUUGAUAUCUAAAAACUGUACUGAUUAAAUAAUGUAUAGCACUGUGUUGGUGCUGCUAAAUGAAUAAACAUUGCAUGGCUAGCCCUGUUUUAAUGCCAACAAAUGAAUAAUGUUAAAAUUGUGAUUACAACAUGAUAUUAAUUAUAUGACGCAUAUUCUGAAUACUUGCAAUGGAUGAAUAAAUAAAAUUGUUAAAAAAAAAAAAAAGAAGUUCAAACUUUAAUCUUCUCCAGACUUUCAAAAGACCCUUUUUCACCUGUAAUCUCUCUUUUCAUCC